AGCUCCAAUAGCGUAUAUUUAAGUUGUUGCAGUUAAAAAGCUCGUAGUUGGAUUUCUGAUUUGAGCGUCCGGUCCGCUUCUUUUGAAGCGCGAACUAUGGAUGUUUGGGUCAUUUUUUGUGAGGAUGCCUUUCUGCCAUUAAGUUGGUGGUUGGGUGGACUUGCAUCGUUUACUGUGAAAAAAUUAGAGUGUUUAAAGCAGGCGUUUGCUCAUUUGAAUACAUUAGCAUGGAAUAAUAAGAUACGGCCUUGGUGGUCUAUUUUGUUGGUUUCUAGAGCUGAGGUAAUGAUUAAUAGGGACAGUUGGGGGUAUUCAUAUUUCAGCGUCAGAGGUGAAAUUCUUGGAUCGCUGAAAGAUGAGCUUAGGCGAAAGCAUUUACCAAGGAUGUUUUCAUUA
rnacentral:rRNA from 1 species